CGGGGGGGGCAAGCGUUGUUCGGAAUUACUGGGCGUAAAGGGCUCGUAGGCGGCCAACUAAGUCGGACGUGAAAUCCCCAGGCUCAACCUGGGAACUGCGUCCGAUACUGGAUGGCUUGAAUCCGGGAGAGGGAUGCAGAAUUCCAGGUGUAGCGGUGAAAUGCGUAGAUAUCUGGAGGAAUACCGGUGGCGAAGGCGGCAUCCUGGACCGGCAUUGACGCUGAGGAGCGAAAGCCAGGGGAGCAAACGGGAUUAGAUACCCCGGUAGUCCUGGCCCUAAACGAUGAAUGCUUGGUGUAACGGGUAUCGAUCCCUGUUGUGCCGAAGCUAACGCAUUAAGCAAUUCCGCCUGGGGAGUACGGUCGCAAGGCUG
rnacentral:rRNA from 1 species